AAAACGGCUCUUUUCAGAGCCACCCAUUGUUUUCAAAAAGAUUUAU
rfam:Ciona savignyi cont_2306, whole genome shotgun sequence.